rnacentral:rRNA from 2 species
GGUAUUGAUUGGUGCUUGCAUCAUGAUUUACAUUUGAGUGAGUGGCGAACUGGUGAGUAACACGUGGGAAACCUGCCCAGAAGCGGGGGAUAACACCUGGAAACAGAUGCUAAUACCGCAUAACAACUUGGACCGCAUGGUCCGAGCUUGAAAGAUGGCUUCGGCUAUCACUUUUGGAUGGUCCCGCGGCGUAUUAGCUAGAUGGUGGGGUAACGGCUCACCAUGGCAAUGAUACGUAGCCGACCUGAGAGGGUAAUCGGCCACAUUGGGACUGAGACACGGCCCAAACUCCUACGGGAGGCAGCAGUAGGGAAUCUUCCACAAUGGACGAAAGUCUGAUGGAGCAACGCCGCGUGAGUGAAGAAGGGUUUCGGCUCGUAAAACUCUGUUGUUAAAGAAGAACAUAUCUGAGAGUAACUGUUCAGGUAUUGACGGUAUUUAACCAGAAAGCCACGGCUAACUACGUGCCAGCAGCCGCGGUAAUACGUAGGUGGCAAGCGUUGUCCGGAUUUAUUGGGCGUAAAGCGAGCGCAGGCGGUUUUUUAAGUCUGAUGUGAAAGCCUUCGGCUCAACCGAAGAAGUGCAUCGGAAACUGGGAAACUUGAGUGCAGAAGAGGACAGUGGAACUCCAUGUGUAGCGGUGAAAUGCGUAGAUAUAUGGAAGAACACCAGUGGCGAAGGCGGCUGUCUGGUCUGUAACUGACGCUGAGGCUCGAAAGUAUGGGUAGCAAACAGGAUUAGAUACCCUGGUAGUCCAUACCGUAAACGAUGAAUGCUAAGUGUUGGAGGGUUUCCGCCCUUCAGUGCUGCAGCUAACGCAUUAAGCAUUCCGCCUGGGGAGUACGGCCGCAAGGCUGAAACUCAAAGGAAUUGACGGGGGCCCGCACAAGCGGUGGAGCAUGUGGUUUAAUUCGAAGCUACGCGAAGAACCUUACCAGGUCUUGACAUACUAUGCAAAUCUAAGAGAUUAGACGUUCCCUUCGGGGACAUGGAUACAGGUGGUGCAUGGUUGUCGUCAGCUCGUGUCGUGAGAUGUUGGGUUAAGUCCCGCAACGAGCGCAACCCUUAUUAUCAGUUGCCAGCAUUAAGUUGGGCACUCUGGUGAGACUGCCGGUGACAAACCGGAGGAAGGUGGGGAUGACGUCAAAUCAUCAUGCCCCUUAUGACCUGGGCUACACACGUGCUACAAUGGAUGGUACAACGAGUUGCGAACUCGCGAGAGUAAGCUAAUCUCUUAAAGCCAUUCUCAGUUCGGAUUGUAGGCUGCAACUCGCCUACAUGAAGUCGGAAUCGCUAGUAAUCGCGGAUCAGCAUGCCGCGGUGAAUACGUUCCCGGGCCUUGUACA